rnacentral:rRNA from 1 species
UGGGGAAUUUUGGACAAUGGGCGCAAGCCUGAUCCAGCAAUGCCGCGUGCAGGAUGAAGCACUUCGGGUUGUAAACNGCUUUUGUACGGAACGAAAAGCCUCUCUCUAAUACAGGGGGGUGAUGACGGUACCGUAAGAAUAAGCACCGGCUAACUACGUGCCAGCAGCCGCGGUAAUACGUAGGGUGCAAGCGUUAAUCGGAAUUACUGGGCGUAAAGCGUGCGCAGGCGGUUUUGUAAGACAGUGGUGAAAUCCCCGGGCUCAACCUGGGAACUGCCAUUGUGACUGCAAGGCUGGAGUGCGGCAGAGGGGGAUGGAAUUCCGCGUGUAGCAGUGAAAUGCGUAGAUAUGCGGAGGAACACCGAUGGCGAAGGCAAUCCCCUGGGCCUGCACUGACGCUCAUGCACGAAAGCGUGGGGAGCAAACAGGAUUAGAUACCCUGGUAGUCCACGCCCUAAACGAUGUCAACUGGUUGUUGGGGGAUUUAUUUCUUCAGUAACGAAGCUAACGCGUGAAGUUGACCGCCUGGGGGAGUACGGCC